rfam:Jatropha curcas cultivar GZQX0401 scaffold392_6, whole genome shotgun sequence.
CAAUGAUGUGAUGAUAUCGUUGUCGGAAAAGUAUAAUGUCGACAAAAAAAAUCAGACUACAAUUAUCUGAUCAUCU